CACGCAGGCGGUUGGAUAAGUUAGAUGUGAAAGCCCCGGGCUCAACCUGGGAAUUGCAUUUAAAACUGUCCGGCUAGAGUCUUGUAGAGGGGGGUAGAAUUCCAGGUGUAGCGGUGAAAUGCGUAGAGAUCUGGAGGAAUACCGGUGGCGAAGGCGGCCCCCUGGACAAAGACUGACGCUCAGGUGCGAAAGCGUGGGGAGCAAACA
rnacentral:rRNA from 1 species